UGAAUAAAGAAAAUUUUUGAAGUUCUUCAUGUCAAUUGAAUCGAAUCAAUCCAGAAAUUAGCCAUCCUAAAGUGCUAAACAGACGUUCAUUUAAUGAACUUUGACAAAGAGUGUGGGCUGGACUUGUGCGUGUCGGCCCUCAACAUCUAGGAGGGCCAUUGGCUAUUAGCUGCUUUUCAAAUCUCAUGAGUGACAGAUAGCUAAAUUGCCAAUGUCAAUUGUGGGAGAAAAUCCAACCGACGGGCAAGUCAAAACUAGUUAGAAACAACCUAAGCUAGUCAACUUGGCAUGGCCUUAGUAAGUUUUGUUUAGCUUUGGUCGGCAAAAAAACUCCAAAUUGGAGCGAGCCAUGAGCUUACUUCGAGUAUUUAUGACUCUGGUGGCAACACCUGACAGGCAAAUGACAUGAUUCUCAAGGAGUUACACAACAACUAGCUUUAAAGGCCAAGGAAAAGCUAAAGAGAAGGACCACAAGGAGGCACCGAAGGUGAUAAGGGAUCGACCUCUACCAUUGGGUGAGAUCCCCCUUCCCUUUCUAGUGUCACUAAAUCGGUCUGGUAUUUGUAGAUGCAUUCCUUCUUUUCAUCGAAAGAUGAUCAUGAAGAGAAACGUGUGGGCGGAUAAACUAGUUCACUUCUACCUUUUGAUGUUCUUAUUAUCGGAGCUAAUCCUAGUUAGAAAGAGGGGGAGUUUCAAUUAUGAGAUAUAGUUCGAAAGACGUUGACAAUCCCUAUAGAUCUAUUUUAUGAUCUUAGCUACGUGUGUCUAGACUUGGUUCAAUGGUAUAUCCCCUCGUGUCCUCAAUAAUCCUAUGAAUAUUUGAU